AAAUGACAAAAAAUGAAAUUAAUGACAAUGUCUCGAGGCCUGGGUUACGCCUACGAAACAUCUCUCACACAUGUAUCCCGAGGAUUCUUUACAAAAUGGCGAAACCAGGAUUUUUUGAGGGGUUACCAGACCAGUUCCUUCCGGAUUACAAGAGUCCGUGUUUUAUGUUUAAACAUGGAAACACUGAGAUACUGCGCUGUUUGCCUUACUUCUAUAUACUUGGAAUUAUGAAGUGUGGCACCACGGAACUUUGGCAUAAAUUGGCGGCUCACCCUCAGGUCUACGCCAAAGGAGUUAUUUCGAAAGAAGUAGGUUGGUGGUCCCUCAAUAGACGGAGAACAACGCCGUUCGCAUCCUACCUGGAAUCAAGAUCCGCGAAAAUGGUCCAGUUGUUCGACAGGUUUGAAUAUCAGAAAAAUCGUCUAGUGAUAGGUAGGUGGUAUCCCUUUAAAUCAGUAUCGUUUCUAGCGGAGUUUCAUCAACCACCCGCC